CGGGAUGUGGCACAGCCUGGCAGUGCGCUCGGUUCGGGUCCGAGAGGUCGCUGGUUCGAAUCCAGUCAUCCCGA
rnacentral:tRNA from 2 species